AGUGAACGUUGGCGGCGUGGAUUAGGCAUGCAAGUCGAGCGAGAACCGUAGCAAUACGGGGACAGCGGCGAAAGGGACAGUAAUGUGUAGGUACCUACCCCGGGGUCUGGGAUAGCUGCGGGAAACUGCAGGUAAUACCGGAUAAUGUCUUCGGACCAAAGGUGGGAUUCCACCUUGGGAGGGGCCUGCAUCCUAUUAGCUUGUUGGCGGGGUAACGGCCCACCAAGGCAACGAUGGGUAGGGGGUGUGAGAGCACGACCCGCGUCAUUGGGACUGAGAUACUGCCCGGACACCUACGGGUGGCUGCAGUCGAGGAUAUUCGGCAAUGGGCGAAAGCCUGACCGAGCGACGCCGCGUGCGGGAUGAAGGCCCUCGGGUUGUAAACCGCUGUCGUAGAGGAGGAAAUGCAGGGGGGUUCUCCCUUCUGUUUGACCUAUUCUAGGAGGAAGGACGGGCUAAGUUCGUGCCAGCCGCCGCUGUAA
rnacentral:rRNA from 1 species